GAGCCGCAGCCAGCCGCCACCGCCCGAGGCCCGGCCGCAGCCGCAGCCCGGCCAGGUGCCCAGGUACCUGCGUCGGCGGCAGGAGGAGUGGCGCGAGGCCCGGGAGGAGGAGCGCCGCCGCCGUCCUGAUCCCGCCUGCCCGCCCGACCACAGCCGCAUGCCCGACGAGGAGCGGCUCCAGACGCUCGCCGUCCUCAGAGAGAACCAGGAGAGCCUGCUGUCGGAGCUGCGCUCACUGCCGAUCGCCCACUCCAGCGUCCGGCUGUUGGCGCAGCGCACCUCGCUGGAGCGCCAGCUGGAGAAGGUGGAGCAGGGCAUCCGCAUCUUCUCCCGGCC
rnacentral:lncRNA from 1 species